AGUACGCCCUGGAAGGGGAGCUGGGUCCCUGGCCCGGGGGCUGCCCUCUGCCUCCUGGCUCCGGGAGUGAGCCGCUUCCUUCACCACCGGCUCCCACCAGGACAUUCUGCCCCAAACAGGCCCCAAAGCCAGGAAGCCAACCAGCCAUGGACUGGGACUGUGAGCGGAAACGAACCUUCCGUCCUUUCACGCUGUUCCUCUCAGGCUGGAAGCUGAUUUCCAAGUAUGCAAGAUCCCUCUAGCCUGAGGGCCUGCCCACUGUCAGCCCUGGGUAAACACUGAGCAUCUGCCGGUCAGUCGAAUGCUGCUUAUUUAUUCUUUCUUUAGGAGCCCUGGAGCUGAAGACUGCUCCUGAUAAGAAACCCCUCCCCUGUGCCCAUACGCCGUUGGCUCAUGAAACUUCCUGCAGUUGUGUUUCUUGUUAUCUUGGCAGCUGAUCUAUAAGCAGACAGAGAAUGCCAGGCUCACUCCAGACCCCCAUCAGCAAGGACCAGUCAGUCAUCACCCCUGGCAAGGAGAAGGGACACCCUCCCUCUGUGGGCGUCAGGGCCCUGGGAAGCAGGUCCAGACUCUCAGGAGACAGACUGCGGACCCCAUUGCCUUCUCAUCAUCCAGAGUCCUGACCUCCACCUGGGAAAUGUCUGUGCCUCCAUCACGAAGCGUAUAAGUGGUUGCCGUGGGAGGCACCGUGCUGGAGUCCCCAGCCUGCCUGCCCACCCCACUCCCAGCCUGUGCAGAGGGGAUGGAGCCCGUGGAGCUGGCCCCCACUUGGUCACCUUCCCAGAACCUUGCCAGGGUCCCUCGCCUAUGCACAGCAUUUGCUGCUGAGAACGUGGUAAGGAGGGACUGUGACAGGGGCUGACGUUCUGUUCAGUGCUCGAACAAAGAUACAGAUGACAAAACGUGGGUCCACUCUCCCACUUCGGCACAGCUUCCAUCCAAGACUAAGCCAGCGCUGUUGUCAGAACAGAGAAGCAGAAGGGACCUGGGUUCUUUAUCACAUUAUUGUGCUGCUGGAAGGAUGGACCCUGCCUCAGACUCCCAAACUGUGGCCCAGCAAGUGCACUUGAUCUUGAGGCCAGGUUGAGUCGGGUUUUGUGUUACUCACAUCUAAGACAACCCUCAGUGUUCAAUCUGUCUAAACCCUCGUUCAGUCCAAGAGAUGUUAUGGCUGUGGUGUCUUCUAGAUGAUUGCUCUAAUUAAUAUCGGAAAGGUAAAAAGUUGCUUUGGUUUGCCUUACGUCUGUGAAUUGGUUAUGGUUACUGGUGUCUAAAGUCACAUUUUCCUGGAGCCGUAUUCUUGAUUCACGUAGAGUCUGAGUAACAGUUGAAAGCAACUCAACUCCCAAAGCCCUGGUUGCACAUCUACUCUGCCCCCCACACGAUGCUCAGGGCCAACGGGCACAGAGUGGUUCCCAGUAGGAUGUGGCUCCUUUCAAGCUCCAACAGAGCUUGAACUCCUUUGGAAAUCAAACGUCACAUUAGGAGCUCGAGUGGUGGCAUCAUACACCAGGUCCAAAACUUGCCUUGCUCUGCCGGGCAGUACACACGUCCCGUUUCCUCCUCACCUCUUACUCAUGCACGAGGAGAUUAAGUUCAAAGGGUACCUAACUUUCUCAGAGUGACUUGUCAGACAUAAUGAUGCUGGGACAUGGUACAGUACUGAGUCCAAAGCUAUAGACAUCCAAUGUUUGGGUGGGAUCUGAAUGUGUCACUGAUGGCCACAGGCCCCCGGCAGCCAGUUCAGGGCUGGUGUCAUUUAUCUGUUCUGGAGAUACACUCUGAAGUCAGAGAUGGUGCUCAGUUGAUCUUCGGGGGAAAAAAAUUCCCAUAUCAGGCAAAAGCUCCAUCUGAUGACAUUUAGAGCAAAGGGCAAGAGCGCUAAGCAAGCUCUGUGGUUAUUUCUCCAUUCUGUGAAGGCUUACUGUGCCCAGCGUGCGACAGGCAUGGCUCUCAGCACAGUGAGAUCACAGGUUCAUGAGACUCAGUCCCUGCUCUGAGGAUCUGUGACCUGCCAAGGGGCAACUGCUGCCAUGGAUCAGAUGUCUACCCCCUACUGGGCAUCUCUCACAAGCCACCUGCAGUCUUUCCAAGGGGUUGCCGUGUAAGUCUUUGUGUUCCCAUCCCGAGGAUGGGGAUCUGAGGCUCGAACAGCCCUCCGCAAGCCAGCAAGAAAAACCGAGAUUGGAAAGCAAGUCCCACCCCAAACUUGUGUGCCUUUCCAGGUGUCACUGGGUCAGAUCCACCUGAAGCCUAACCUGACUGAGUAGGGAGUGUCGCACAGGUGUUCCUCUUGUAUUCUCCACUCCCUCUACAUGAAGGGAGUUUGGGUUUGCUGUAGGCACUCAGAGAACCGCAUCGUGUAUUGUCAGUUCUGUAACAGAAACUCCAUCAUCCUUCCAUGAUGCCAACCAAGUGGUCAAUCUCUAGAAAUCUGAGGUCUGCAUACUGGAAUUCCAGUUCAGUUGGCUGUGACAAGCACUCUUGCCUCCACAGUAAGUACUGACCCUCCCUGGGCCUUCAUGAUUCCCACUUUACAAACGGUGCAUCUGAAGCUGUCACGAAUUGCUCAAGGUCACUCAUGUUAUAUAAGUGAAGGAGGUUCAAGAUUCAAAAUCCAAAACACUCUGUGUAGCAUCGUUUUAAGUGACAUGUCCAAGUUUUCUGUAUAUUUUCAAGGAUAUGUCCAAGUCUAGUACGUCUUCUGCUAAGCCAGCGCGGAUGGGGAAUGCAUUCUAUGGUUCUUGAAUGGUGAGAAUGACUUUCCUUUAAAAUACCUCCUCUCUUUCUUACUUUCCUCCCAGCUCCAUUAUUGCUGGAAGAGUAUUCUACGUGUUUCUGCCUCUUCUUCCUGGUGUCUCCCACGUACUGGGCCUGGCUCCAGUGCUCUCCCUGAGCAUUCCCAGGGGACAGUCCUUGUCAUGCUAUAGCCUGUCUCUCAGUUUUCAUGAGAAAUGACUCUUUGUGGCAUUUACCAAAGGGGAAAAGUCUCCCAAGCUUCUCUAAAUAGAUUAAAGUACUGCUUUUCUCAUAGUCUUUUUAAAAGGCUUUUCUUCUCUCCUCUUUUUUUAACUUCAUGACUCAUCUCAUCACUAAGACCCAGACAGUUUGUCACAUGAAAACCACUGGGGAGUCUUCCUUUCUAUCCUUGGUGUGACUGAGACAGUGAUUGUUCUUCCUGGCCCCAGGUAACCUCCAGGGAAUACUUUUUUUAUUUUUAGAAAGAAGAAAUAUCAAAAUUAAACAUGUAAGAUUUAUUUUUUAAUGUAUUUUUGUGAUUGUAGAUGGACAGCAUGCAUUUAUUUUAUUUGUUUAUUUUCAUGUAGUCCUAAGGAUUGAACCCAGUGCCUCUCAUAUGCUAGGCAAGCGCUCUACCACUGAGCUACAGCCCCAGCCCUGAGAUUUAAUUUUUAAAUCAAUAUUGUGAUAAAAUUCAGUGGAGAUGAAAAGCUCAUUUGGGUAAGGCCACAAUCAUUUUUAUUUCUGCCCUCUUAUGAAUGCUUAGUAACAAAUUAGAAUUUUCUUUAUUUUUAGCAUAAAUCCAGUCCUGUUUGAGAGCUUCAAGGGGGUGACCAUUGGGUGGAACUGCAAGGAAAGAGCAGGGAUACCCUUCACUAUAUUUGGAGGACAUAGGUGUUUAGGGGACCCUAUCAAGAGAAAGUUGGAAUAAUUGUGGAAAAAACAAGUAGGUAGAAAGGAAAGUCCUGGUUUUUCAGGGAAUAUCCAAAAUCAUGUUUUCAACCAACACCUCUCAGUGAAGUAGUGAAAAAUCAGUGACCGAGGUGUCUACUCCAGCGUCCAAUCCCACUUCGGCUACUUAUGAACUACAUGUGGUUAGUUUGACCUCUCUGGAUUAAUAAUAGUUACUACUGCACGGGAUUAUGGGGAGGCUUCAAUGAAAUCACACAGGUAAAACCCCUGGCGCAGCGCCUACUGGUCAUCACUGUUCAAAAACAUGUUACUAUCGUUAUAAUUAUCACUAUUUUCUAGAUGUCAAUGUUCAAAGUAGUCCAAGUGGUGACAGGAUGUUUUCACUGGGUAUCCAUCCACCCUCUCGAGUUAUCAGGAUCCAAGUGGAUUUUUCACAGAUCAGGAUCACAGCAAGUCACAGGGCCAAGCCCGAAGUCUGAGAGAGGAAGUACACGCCACCCUCCAUGAGACUGUGGCAGGGCAUGCAUUCAGGAGGGUGAAGAUCGGAGCCAGUCAAUCUACCACCCUGGAUAAGUCCCCACCCUAUGCUAAAAUAUGCUCUCGCCUGAUGAAUUUUCAGGACUUUUCUUCCUUCACUUCAUCAUAUUGAGGCUCUAAGCCCCCUGUACUUCUCCCAGAAUUCUCAUUCCCUGCCCAAAAUCGGAAACUUUUACCCUUCAUUGUUUAUUUACCCCUCAUUGUUUAUUUAAAAAUGAUUACUUUUUGUGUCAUAUUUUAUUUGUGAUUGUUUGGGAGCAAAUCUAUACAGUCCCUUUUUGAACAAGUGGCAUUAGCUUUUGUGGUACUAUCUCCAUUCAUUCCCCAUAAAUAAUAAAGAAUACAGGAUUC